rnacentral:rRNA from 1 species
CCUACGGGAGACAGCAGUAGGGAAUCUUUCACAAUGGGCGAAAGCCUGAUGGAGCAACGCCGCGUGCAGGAUGAAGGCCUUCGGGUUGUAAACUGCUUUUAUAAGCGAGAAAUAUGAUGGUAACUUAUGAAUAAGGAUCGGCUAACUACGUGCCAGCAGCCGCGGUCAUACGUAGGAUCCGAGCAUUAUCCGGAGUGACUGGGUGUAAAGAGUUGCGUAGGUGGCAUAAUAAGUAGCUAGUGAAAUCUGGUGGCUCAACCAUUCAGACUAUUAGCUAAACUGUUAAGCUCGAGACCGUUAGGGGUAACUGGAAUUUCUAGUGUCGGCGUGAUAUCCGUAGAUAUUAGCAGGAACACCAAUCGCGUAGGCAGGUUGCUGGGACGGUUCUGACACUAAGGCACGAAAGCGUAGGGAGCAAACGGGAUUAGAUACCCCGGUAGUC